UCCAGCCGAGCUGCCAUCUCUUCAAGGAAGUUUUCCCUGAAGCCCUCAGGUAGACCCGUUUUUCCAUGGCGGCCACAUCAGCAUGCAGCACAUUUAAUUGGAAGUCUCCACAUAUGAGUUGGUUUUCCUUACUUAAAAUAUGCUUAUCAUCCCUUGGAGCUUACAUCCAGAUGUUGGAUCCAACUGGUCAGAGGCCUGGGGCAGAGACAGAAAUCAAAUCUAGGGUGUUCAUCUAGAGUCUCCUGCUCCUCCAUUCCUGCUUCCUCCUCACGCUGCCCCCACAUCCUCCCCAACUCACCUUCAUGCUACAUCUCGGCAAAUACAGCUCAUAUCCAGGCACGGUGCAGCCCUUGACAGCUGGGUCCGCAAAGGCAGAUCGGAUGUUCUGCCAAUUGAAUGGAAACUGUCCAUAGUGGGGAGCAGAGAGCCUCAUCUUUUCUGGAACUGAACAUCCAUCCUUAAGGCCAGAUUUCUCCCAUCACCAACUUUAACUCCUGCCCUAGCCCUCUCUCUUCCUUUUCAAAACCCUCUCCACCCAGGAAGGGAGAUUCUGGAGCCAAGACUGUACCAGCCACACCUCCCCAGAGUUGUUAAGGAAGGAACUCGAAGCCAGGGGUGGUCUUCUGGCAAGCACCCCCACUACCAGUAGCAGGACAGAUGUGUUUCUAAUGGACUACACUAUCCCCGGAGGUCACAUGAUUCAGGCUGCCAAGGGUACCUGCCCUUGGGAAAUCAACUCCCGAAGAUAAAUUGGGAUUGGGUCCUGAGAAGAUCCAUGGAAGCCCAGAGGACCCUGCCUCUCUCUGUUGCUUCAUGCUGUAGAGGCAGUACUGGGGAGGGCCUGCCCCACAUCCGGCAGGGCAGCUGGAACCAUGUGUUUGAUGACACUCUGCUCCCUCAAUGUGGAGCCUCAUCCUCAUCUCACAGUCUAGCAGGCCUCUGGUGGGUUAGGCUUGUCUCACCCAGUGUGUGAGUUUUUUUGGAAGUGACCUGAUUUUGGAGUUUCCCUCCAAGCCUUUCUCAGGUACAUGCUUUCUCUUUUAUUCUGUCUUCUUUUUUUGAUCUUCUUAAAUCUGAUUUUCUCCUUUUUCCCUCUCUUGUCUCCAUCUUUUUUCCAGUCUCUCGCUUCUCUUUAUUUCUCCCCAUAUUUCACUCUGUUCUCUCACCCCAACCUUUCCCUUCUGUUUCUCUCCCUCCCUCUCUUCCCACCCCCUGCCUGGCCUUCCAUAUAUCAAGCAGAGUUUUAUCACCUUAUGCAGGGGCAGCCCUGCCACCUGCCAUAAAGUUGAUAGGCUAAUGACAUUUUGUGGAUAUUGCCAUGUCACAAGUCCAGGACAGCAUCAAAAAUAGCCCUGAUGUCUAAACCACUUCAGCUAUCUUUUUUAUUUUUAAAAUAAAUACAUUCACAUGCUUUUAAGAAACUAUAAAAAUAUAUAAAGUAAAAAGAUCUUUCUCUCACACUGUCUCCACCUCUCCUGGUCUCACCGUUGUGCUUAGGGGAAACCAUUGUGAUUAGUUUCUCCUGUGUCCUUCCAGAGUGUCUUUAUGCAAAUGAAAAUUAUUGUGAUAAUAUAUUCCUAUUUUCCCCCUUACUACACAAAAGAUAGACUACCAUAAUCCCAUUCUGCACUUUUUUUUCACUUGAUAAUAAAAACAUGAUUUUAUUAA
rnacentral:lncRNA from 10 species